CCCUAGGUAGUAUAGUGGUAAGUAUCUCCACCUGUCACGCAGGAGACCAGGGUUCGAUUCCCUGCUGUGGAG
rnacentral:tRNA from 1 species